GCCGCCAUAGCUCAGUCGGUUAGAGCGUGGGACUAAUAAGCAAAAGUUCGGAGGUUCGACCCCUGCUGGCGGCA
rnacentral:tRNA from 1 species